rnacentral:rRNA from 1 species
AGUGAACGCUGGCGGUAGGCCUAACACAUGCAAGUCGAACGGCAGCACAGUAAGAGCUUGCUCUUACGGGUGGCGAGUGGCGGACGGGUGAGGAAUACAUCGGAAUCUACUUUUUCGUGGGGGAUAACGUAGGGAAACUUACGCUAAUACCGCAUACGACCUACGGGUGAAAGCAGGGGAUCUUCGGACCUUGCGCGAUUGAAUGAGCCGAUGUCGGAUUAGCUAGUUGGCGGGGUAAAGGCCCACCAAGGCGACGAUCCGUAGCUGGUCUGAGAGGAUGAUCAGCGACACUGGAACUGGGACACGGUCCAGACUCCUACGGGAGGCAGCAGUGGGGAAUAUUGGACAAAGGGCGCAAGCCUGAUCCAGCCAUACCGCGUGGGUGAAGAAGGCCUUCGGGUUGUAAAGCCCUUUUGUUGGGAAAGAAAAGCAGCAGGUUAAUACCCCGCUGUUCUGACGGUACCCAAAGAAUAAGCACCGGCUAACUUCGUG